GGCCUGAGAAACCGUCAUGUUUCUGGGGAGUCACCUCAGCUGGCAGUUACCACCGUGUUAGAAAGCAGCCUCAGGACCGGCCACCUCCAUCACUGGCGUCACCAUGGGGGCUGUGCUGGGUGUCUUCUCCCUCGCCAGCUGGGUGACCAUGGUGUGCUCAUUCCAGGUUCCAUGCCUCUGCAGCGGUGCCUCAUGUUUGCUGUGUAGUUGCUGUCCUAACAGUAAGAAUUCCACGGUGACUCGCCUCAUUUAUGCUUUCAUUCUCCUCCUGAGCACUGUCGUAUCCUAUAUCAUGCAGAGAAAAGAGAUGGAAA
rnacentral:lncRNA from 1 species